rnacentral:rRNA from 1 species
AUUGAACGCUGGCGGCAUGCUUUACACAUGCAAGUCGAACGGCAGCGCGAGCUUCGGCCUGGCGGCGAGAGGCGAACGGGUGAGUAAUGCAUCCGAACGUGCCCAGUAGUGGGGGAUAGCCCGGCGAAAGCCGGAUUAAUACCGCAUACGACCUGAGGGUGAAAGCGGGGGACCGAAAGGCCUCGCGCUAUUGGAGCGGCCGAUGUCGGAUUAGCUAGUUGGUGGGGUAAAGGCUUACCAAGGCGACGAUCCGUAGCUGGUCUGAGAGGACGACCAGCCACACUGGGACUGAGACACGGCCCAGACUCCUACGGGAGGCAGCAGUGGGGAAUUUUGGACAAUGGGGGCAACCCUGAUCCAGCCAUGCCGCGUGCGGGAAGAAGGCCUUCGGGUUGUAAACCGCUUUUGUUCGGGAAGAAAUCCUCUGGGCUAAUACCCCGGGGGGAUGACGGUACCGGAAGAAUAAGCACCGGCUAACUACGUG